rnacentral:rRNA from 1 species
UACAGAGGGUGCUAGCGUUGUUCGGAAUCAUUGGGCGUAAAGGGCGUGUAGGCGGUUUGUUAAGUCAUGUGUGAAAGCCCCCGGCUCAACCGGGGAACGACGCAUGAAACUGGCAAGCUAGAGUACCGAAGAGGGGGGUGGAAUUCCCGGUGUAGCGGUGAAAUGCGUAGAUAUCGGGAGGAACAUCAGUGGCGAAAGCGGCUUCCUGGACCAGUACCGACGUUCAGGCACGAAAGCGUGGGGAGCAAACAGG